ensembl:snoRNA
UGGUGGUGAUGUCUAAACUCACGAUGGUCUUCAGAGCCCCUGUUGGUGAAGGGGAGCUGCUGACAAUGCCAGUGGCAAUUGCUGAACCGUAAGA